GCCUAGUUAGCUUGGCGGGUAGAACAUUUGCCUUGUAAGCAAUAGGUCGAGGGUUCGAUUCCCACCCGGAGCG
rnacentral:tRNA from 1 species